rnacentral:lncRNA from 1 species
UGAGGGGACACCUGCCGUAUCAGACGACACCGUGUCCAUGGUGACGUCUGUUUCGGACCUUUUUAUACUGGGCGACGUCCGAGCCAGUUUCCUGUUUAAUCUUCGUAAGUUCAUGCAAUUGUAGUUUUGCUACUGGGCGGAUGAUGUCCUCGGGGACAAAAUGUCCACCAGCAGAGACAUCGACCCAGUGGUAAUAAAAGAGGGACGAAAGAUACCAAAGGGACAGUCAAACUCAUAAAUCUAAAACAAACUGACAACGCCAUGGCUAAAAAUAAAAAAGACAAACAGAAAAACAAUAGUACACACGACACAACAUAGAAAACUAAAGAAUAAACAACACGAACCCCACCAAAAACUAGGGGUGAUCUCAGGUGCUCCGGAAGGGUAAGCAGAUCCUGCUCCACAUGUGGCACCCGUCGUGUUGCUUAAGUGAUUACAAAUCCGGUAAAUAGUCUUAUUCGGUAGGUCAUAUUCAUGAAAGGGAAGGG